CGCAGAGUGACGCCCCGAAAGGGGCGGUAAUGCGGGCGAGGCUUUGCCUCGGCGGUCACAACCCCGC
rnacentral:ribozyme from 1 species